GAAGGUGUAUCUAGAAAGACAAAUUAGAGCUUGAAAAAUAAAGCAUUUCAUUUACAUUGAAAAGUAUAUUGUGUAAUUCAAUUUAAUUUGAUAAUAAAAAUUUAUUAAUUUUUUUUUGUUUAAGAAUUUAUUUAAUAAAAUUAAUUUUAAAUUAAGUUUUUUUUGUAUAGUAUAUAGAUCAAAUAAUUUAUAUAAUAGUUAAUUAGUAUUGUAAAAGAAUAUUGAAAUAUAUGAAAAAAUUUUAAAUUAAAAGUAAAUUUUAUAUAUUGUACCUUGUGUAUCAGGGUUUAUUAAUUAAAAGUUAAAAAUUUAAUUUUUCUCGAAUUUAAGAGGGUUAAUUUAUUAUUUAAUUUUUUGUUUCAUAAAAAUUUAAAAUAAUAAGUUAGAAAUGAAAUGUUAUUCGUUCUUUAAUAUAUCUAGUUUUUUAAGAAAUAAAUUAAAUUUAGAUUAUUAAUAGAUAAUUAUUUAUUUAAAUAAUAAAUUAUUAUUAAUAGUUAAUAUUUUAAGGGAUAAGCUUUAAAGUAAGUUUUAUAAUGAUUUUUUAAUUUAAAAAUUAUAGGUUUAGAAAUAGUCAUUAAUUAUAAAAAUGUUAUAAUUUAUUUUAAAUUAAAAAUAAUUUUUAUUAAUUUAAAUUUUUAUUAAAAUAAUUUUUAAAAUUAUAUAAGAAUUAAAAUAAUGAUAAAAUUAGUAUAUUUAAUUGUUUAAAAUAAAUAAAUUAAAAGGUUAAAUUAAGGAAUUCGGCAAAUAAAUACUCGCCUGUUUAACAAAAACAUGUCUUUUUGAAUAUAAUUUAAAGUCUAAUCUGCCCACUGAAAAAUUUUAAAGGGCCGCGGUAUU
rnacentral:rRNA from 1 species